rnacentral:rRNA from 6 species
ACGAACGCUGGCGGCGUGCUUAACACAUGCAAGUCGAACGAUGAAGCCCAGCUUGCUGGGUGGAUUAGUGGCGAACGGGUGAGUAACACGUGAGUAACCUGCCCUUGACUCUGGGAUAAGCACUGGAAACGGUGUCUAAUACCGGAUAUUUCAACUGACCGCAUGGUCUGGUUGUGGAAAGAAUUUUGGUCAAGGAUGGACUCGCGGCCUAUCAGGUAGUUGGUGAGGUAAUGGCUCACCAAGCCUACGACGGGUAGCCG